rnacentral:rRNA from 1 species
UGAGGAACAUGACCUUUCGGCGGGGGAUAGCCGGCCCAACGGCCGGGUAAUACCGCGUACGACCACUU